UGGAAUAUUCACAUUUAUUUGAUUUUUAAUAUUUUUCUUUUAUUUUUGCACCUUGCCUCGUUCAGGCAUGUGCUUUGAACCUUUAAUAACUAUGCUUGAAGGAAGAUGAAAUAUAUAGCAUAUUGAAGCAACUUCAUUAUUUCAGACACAAAUAAUUGAGUUGGAAAAUUUUAAGGAACCUAUUCUUGCGAAAGAAGCUGAUGAAAAUAAGCAAGAAGAUUUAAGGAAUCAAUCCUAGGAAAAGAAGAAAAACAAACCAUUGAGAAGACAAUGGAAAUUAAAAAUUUAUCUAAUUCUUUUGUUCCUGAUAAAUUGAAAAGCCUUUCAAUUGCAGAUGUAGUUGAUUUUAUAUGUUCAGAUGUUUUUAGGUAUGUAAAGGAAGCAUGAAGUUCUUUGUUUCAAUCUUAUUGUUACUAUCCAAGAAAAUAAGAUUGCAUGUUCUCUAAAUUCAGCUCAUGAUUCUUCUACACAACAAAACUUGAGAUCAAGUUUUCUCCAACCAGAGGAGAAUAUGAUGCAGUCAAAGAGGACUAGAUUUAGGAAUUAUUUCAGCUUAAUUUUUCAUUGUAAAGUUAAGAAGUUUUAGAUUUCUAUUAUUUAGGUUAGGAUUUAAAGUUCUAUUACAUUUAGUCUUUUCCUAGUUAGUGUUGAUUCAUAUUCCUAGUUAGAUUGGUUUAG
rnacentral:misc_RNA from 1 species